UGUUCUGUCGCUCAGUUAGUUAGAGCGCAGCACAGGAUUGCAGAGAUGCAGGUUCUAUUCCUGCCGGAGGAC